rnacentral:rRNA from 1 species
AGAGUUUGAUCAUGGCUCAGAGUGAACGCCGGCGGCGUGCCUAACACAUGCAAGUCGAACGAGGACGGGUUCCAGUUUACAGUAACUGUCAGCUAAGUGGCGCACGGGUGAGUAAUAUAUAGUUAAUCUGCCCCAAAGAAGAGAAUAAUUGUAGGAAACGACUUGUAAUGCUCUAUAUGCCUUUAUCACAUAAGUGAGCAAGGGAGACAUUUAUGGCUUUGGGAUGAGACUGUACGGUAUCAGCUAGUUGGUGAGGUAAUGGCUCACCAAGGCUAUGACAUCUAACUGGUUUGAGAGGAUGAUCAGUCACACUGGAACUGAGACACGGUCCAGACUCCUACGGGAGGCAGCAGUGGGGAAUAUUGCACAAUGGAGGAAACUCUGAUGCAGCAACGCCGCGUGGAGGAUGACACAUUUCGGUGCGUAAACUCCUUUUAUUAGGGAAGAUAAUGACG